GGCCCUUGAUAAAGACGAGGUGCCCUGCCGCUCUUCCUCCCUCCGUAGUGCAGCCCCCUGCUGCCGCCAGGGCGCCCUUUGGACCCCACCAGCGCCCCCUGAGCCUCGCCGGGACCUGGUCAGAGGGUCCGAUCCGUAGACGAAGGGCGUCGAGUCGGCGCUAGGCUGUCCGCCUCUCCGCUUUCCUGGUCCUCUGGUCUCCUCUGGUCGGCGGCGAUGCUCCUCCCAGCGGGAUCAGGGCCUGUGCUUUGGGAGUUCACAAGAGCUUAGGAGAUGCACUACCUUCCCCUUAUCGGUGACAAGGGGUCGGAGCUGGAGCCACCCUUCCUUGGCUGCAUCACUGAAAACCUCCGGGGAAGAGCCCUUCCUGGACCCGGAGUCUUCUGAUGACUUCUGGCUGUCAACGAUCUAAGAAAAGGCCAAGCAAAAGUCAAUGUUUUACUAAGUUACCUGAGAGAAUUUAACAAUUAAAAAAAGCUACAAAUACUACAGUAUGCUCCUCUUCCUUCUCUCAUGACUUCACAUUUUAGUAGGAAAUAAGCAAUUUUAAAAGAGAGACAAGAAAAUGAUGAAUUUGUGAUUUGUGCCAUUUGGAGAAUGAAAAUAAAUGCAAUAAUGAGCAAGUGAGUAGCAACUAUAAAUCGAUGAGGCAAAGCCUCUGAGAAAUAACACCAGG
rnacentral:lncRNA from 1 species